UACGAAGGGGGCGAGCGUUGUUCGGAUUUACUGGGCGUAAAGGGCGCGCAGGCGGCGCAUUUUGUCAGGCGUGAAAGCCCCGGGCUUAACCUGGGAACUGCGUUUGAUACGGAUGGGCUAGAGUUCGGGAGAGGAGAGUGGAAUUCCCAGUGUAGAGGUGAAAUUCGUAGAUAUUGGGAAGAACACCGGUGGCGAAGGCGGCUCUCUGGACCGAGACUGACGCUGAGGUGCGAAAGCGUGGGGAGCAAACAGG
rnacentral:rRNA from 1 species